GCCGCCGGCGGUCCUGCCCUUCAGCCGGCCGGCCGGCCGCUCCGUCUCCCAGCGGCAUCGCCCAAGGCCGGCCGCCGCCAAGACUCGGCUUCUCCGGCCGGUGCCCGUCCUGUCCCAGCCCGCCGCCCGGUGCCAGGCCACCACCAGCCCCUGUGCGCCCUCCGGCCUCCGACCCAGCGGCCUCGCUUCUCCGAGGAGGUGGAGUGCUAGCUGCUUCUCUCCACUAAGCACUAGUACCCGUGCUUCUUUGCUUGUAGCCCAACGAGCAGGCCAACAGGCACACACGCUCAACUCCCUGCUCCUCUAUUUCUUUUUCCCCUUCCUGCUACCUACAACGCUCAAGCAAGCUGCACUAAAUCCAUGGUGAUGGCUGGGGUCCUCCGAUCAUUACUACUCCAAUGUGAUUCUCGAAGGUCUCUAGUUGCUAUUACUCCAUUUCCCCCUUCGAUUUCUUCCUCUGUUGUGAUUAUCACCUCACCCUAGCAGCUUGUGCAGGAUGGGCCGCUGCCGGCGAACUGCUCGGCCAUGGUGCCGUGGCCGGCAAUCUGUAGUGCUGUGAGGGGACUCAAGAGGCGCGUGUGGAGGCUCAUAUGGCUGGGCUUCUAGCUGUACGUCGGUGCCGAAUCUUGUGGAUGCAGCUUUCGUGAGCUAGCUGUGCAAUGCUCUCCGAGGACCAUCACUGAGGAGGUGGAGUGCUCCCUGUGCUGUCAGACGAGCUCGUCUGCUACUGCUACACCAUCAAGGAGUUCCUGAUGCUCAACUGCAUUACUAGAUGAUCGAG
rnacentral:lncRNA from 1 species